UAGACCCUACGGGGCGCAGCAGUGGGGAAUAUUGCACAAUGGGGGAAACCCUGAUGCAGCAACGCCGCGUGAAGGAAGACGGUUUUCGGAUUGUAAACUUCUUUUCUUAGUGAAGAAGCAAGUGACGGUAGCUAAGGAAUAAGCAUCGGCUAACUACGUGCCAGCAGCCGCGGUAAUACGUAUGGUGCAAGCGUUAUCCGGAUUUACUGGGUGUAAAGGGAGCGUAGGCGGCGCGUUAAGUCUGAUGUGAAAACCCGAGGCUCAACCACGGGAGUGCAUUGGAAACUGGCGGGCUGGAGUGCCGG
rnacentral:rRNA from 1 species